ACCUUAACUCGCUAGAUAGACCGUCCUCGCUAGAUUUUACUUCUUUACCUCUCUAUAUAAUCUUAUUUGUUUCAUUCUGUUCUACAUUUUUUCUGUCCAGGGUCACAAGUGUGAAGGACAUUUUGCCAGUGUCCACAAGCUGGUGGGGGCGGCGGUAGUGGUCCGUUGACGUCACAAAUAUGGGGAAGGGGGACAUUUCUCGACGGAUUGUCCACAAGAGGGUCGUGGCGGUGGUGGAAGUCGUACCUGCCAUGAGAUAAACAAAAAACAAAAAAAACAUCAUUUUUAGUGCUCAUUUUUAACGAAGAAGAGGGCAAUGUAGCAAAGGAUUUUCCUCAAGAAGGAAGCAUUGGUGGCAGCAACUGUUACGAUUGUAAUGAAGCUGACCACACCUCGAAAGGCUGCCCGAAUCUCUUCAGUGAAUUGACGGAAGAUGGAAAGCCACAUGAGCAAUACAUUCCAGAAGCUGUGACAUGUGACGAAAAGGAACUGUUUAAGGGCAUUGUCUAUGUGGAAAGGCUUUAACAAUUUUGAUAAAGUCGUCCUACAUGUAAGCCAUUUCUCGAAACUGUAUUUUUUUUUAAAUAUCUAUUGUGUUUGCUUUAGGCUACAGGAAAAGAUAUACUUCAAUACAUAACAUCAU